rnacentral:rRNA from 1 species
GAUGAACGCUGGCGGCGUGCUUAACACAUGCAAGUCGAACGGUGAACGAGGGAGCUUGCUCCCUCCGGAUCAGUGGCGAACGGGUGAGUAACACGUGAGCAAUCUGCCCUGGACUCUGGGAUAAGCGUUGGAAACGACGUCUAAUACCGGAUACGAGGCGUGGGGGCAUCCCCAACGCCUGGAAAGAACUUCGGUCCAGGAUGAGCUCGCGGCCUAUCAGCUUGUUGGUGAGGUAACGGCUCACCAAGGCUUCGACGGGUAGCUGGUCUGAGAGGACGAUCAGCCACACUUGCACUGCGAAACGGGCCAGACUACGGCGGGAGGCAGCAGUAAAGAAUAUUGCGCAAUGGACGAAAGUCUGACGCAGCGACGCCGCGUGGGGGAUGAAGGUCUUCGGAUUGUAAACCCCUUUCGGCAGGGAAGAUGGAACGGGCAACCGUUCGGACGGUACCUGCAGAAGCAGCCACGGCUAACUUCGUGCCAGCCGCCGCGGUAAUAC